AAAUAACAUUCGUGAUUUUUUUUUGCGGAUUUGAGUUUUCCAGUAUUUAUUAUUAUUAUAAAUAAAUGUUGGUGACUUUAAAAUUAUUUAUUACUUGGUACAAGUUGAAAACGUGCUAUAUGUGUGGUUCGCUGACAACUUGUCCAUCUUUAUAUAUUAUGCGUGUACUUGAUUUUUUAUCUGUACGAGUAUAUAUUUUUUU
rnacentral:misc_RNA from 1 species